rnacentral:lncRNA from 1 species
GGCAGACGCGCGCACCCGCACCCGCACCCGCACCCGCAGGCGCGCACACGGGUGUUUGGGCCGUGUAUCCCCCUACCCACUCCCCUCCUUCCUUCGAACGGCUUCAACCCAAACCUUAAAAUUAAAGCCAUCCCCAAAUUUGGUCUUGGGGAUCUUGCUGGCUGUCGGAUUUCGGUGCAGCGUUCCCUCCCCCGCGCUGCUGCUGCUGCCGCUUAAGGACAGUUACUUGCCCCGGGAGGGAACGGUCAAGUGGAAGCUGUGUGUGGGCGUGCGUGUGUGUGCGCGCGUGUGUGCGCGUGUGGCUUCUUUGGGGCACAUGCACACCCCGCCGUAGCCUCCGGAUCGGCAGUCCCGCCGCCGGGGCUUGUCCCUGCCAGCCAAGGACUCCACAAGGAGGGAGUCCCCGGUCCCCGGCAGGGCAGCCUGCGAGCGGCUUCGGUGCUGGGCACGCUCGGGGCGGAGGAAGCCCGGCGAGGAGCGGGGUCCUCCCACGGAGGGGCCGGAGCUGCCCCCCGCCGCGCCCCCCGCCCGGCCCCCGCGCCCCCAGACCCGCCCCCCCCCCCCCCCGUGCUCUGCGCACCCGACUCCGGGAGGCGGAGGGAGGGGCGCGGCGCCCUCCCGGGCCGCGAGCGGUCACGGAAUCUGACACCCGGACAGGCAGCUGGUCCCCGGCCAGGACGCCCCGCGCCUUCUCAAAUGGAAACAGUCUCUCCCAGGGAACCUGCCCGAAUUCCCGGUGGAAUCUCACCUGAGCUUUGGCUCCUGGCGCAUUUCACCCAGGCCGCAUCUACCAUCACUUCGAGGCAAGGAAGGCCCCCGAUGGAGCGGGGCUCUUGGUGGCCGAACAAGCAGAGCGGCGGUUCCAGAGGACCAGUGGCCACAGGCUGCUGGAGGCCCGAGGCCGCCCCUGCCGCCCCUGCCGGCCUCCCUACUUCUUCGAUUCGGGUCCUCAGCCGACCUCCUCUCUGGAGCCCGGGACACUGCCGAGCUUCGCCGAGAAGCAACAACCCAUGACGAGGCGUUGGCACCUGCUUCUUGCCUUGACAUGGUUCCAUAAGGAAGAUCCGGCGUGUCCGACGACGCUCCAGUCCGGGUCUGUACCACUCCACGGUGCCAUCGUAGUUUUCUCGGAAAAUUAUUAAUUAUAUCAACAGAAUUAUUGGCGAUACUGUGCAAAGAGAUUUCAGCCUUGUCAACACAAUAGCUUCAACAAUGCCUGCUCUUGCAUCCUCUAGAAAGCAGAGCCCAAGCCAGGGUUCAGAGCACUGUCAGUUUGUCCAGGAUGUGCAGUCCAGGAGUGUGGGGGUGAACAAGGCAAGAGAAAAGGUAAGGUGAUGCUGUUCAAUGCCACAUAUAUUCUCACUAGCUGCGUUGACCAGUGAGCUGAGUGGGAUAGGGCAUGCUGUGUCACUGCAUGCACGUUUACUUGGCAUGUGGGACUUCUCCAGAAGGCUUGCAAGGAAGAACUAUUCUGU